rnacentral:rRNA from 1 species
UGGGGAAUUUUGGACAAUGGGCGAAAGCCUGAUCCAGCAAUGCCGCGUGUGUGAAGAAGGCCUUCGGGUUGUAAAGCACUUUUGUCCGGAAAGAAAUCCUUGGCUCUAAUACAGUCGGGGGAUGACGGUACCGGAAGAAUAAGCACCGGCUAACUACGUGCCAGCAGCCGCGGUAAUACGUAGGGUGCAAGCGUUAAUCGGAAUUACUGGGCGUAAAGCGUGCGCAGGCGGUUUGCUAAGACCGAUGUGAAAUCCCCGGGCUCAACCUGGGAACUGCAUUGGUGACUGGCAGGCUAGAGUAUGGCAGAGGGGGGUAGAAUUCCACGUGUAGCAGUGAAAUGCGUAGAGAUGUGGAGGAAUACCGAUGGCGAAGGCAGCCCCCUGGGCCAAUACUGACGCUCAUGCACGAAAGCAUGGGGAGCAAACAGGAUUAGAUACCCUGGUAGUCCACGCCCUAAACGAUGUCAACUAGUUGUUGGGGGAUUCAUUUCCUUAGUAACGUAGCUAACGCGUGAAGUUGACCGCCUGGGGAGUACGGUCGCAAGAUUAAAACUCAAAGGAAUUGACGGGGUCAUAGCUGUUUCCU